ACAUUUGCUCUCCAUACAAUUUUCUGUUUCCAAAAAUAGAUUGGGCUGCGUUUUGAAGACUUGAGACUUACCCUUUGCUCAAAAAGUGCGUUGUUUAGGAGUGCAAGGCCGAUUUGAGUUAUUGCACAAGCAGAGACUAGGCGUUCCCUACCGGAAAUAUGCAAAUAAAUGCUGGAACGCACCAAUAGGAUCUCACUUUCACGUGCAUGGCUCUGCACACUAUGUUUCAUUUGCGCCCAUUGGAAACGACAGGUUAUAGUCUAUCUUGGGUUAGUUAUAAAUUCUUCGGCAUAGUAGUGCGGCCGCGCAAAUCGGUGUUUAUAGAUUCCCGGAUGAAGAUUUUGCGACAAUGAAUUAGUCGAAAACAAGACUUUUCCCAAGGCAGGCCUGGUUGCAGCUAGAUAUGUUCGAGUCGCUUCCGGGCCAAUUUUAGAAUUUUAGCUUAUUCUCCAAACCUGCUACGGUGAUUUUCGUAACCUGUCAUGUUCAUUAUCCUAACCUGCUGCAAGAAGUUACUUCUGUUAGUCAAAACCGUCAGACUUGCCCUGAGAACAGUCUUGGUUUCCACUAAUGAGAUAACAGCGCCAAGCAAGGUCAUUUCACUAUAACUUUAUUAAACCCUAUACUUUUACGAAUGACAAUUAAAGAAACAUGUAAUUGACAAAGAUUGUUCUGGUUAAUUAACUAUGAAAAUCAAUCGGAGCUCCAUGAAUGAAAUGUAGGUAAGCCUUUAAUGUAGAGGCCUACCCUUUUAAUAGGUAUGUCUUGUCUAAAUAUUAAACCAAUACAUAUAAAUAGCACAAACGGGAAGAAUCAACUUAUUUUCCACAGAACGUCUGGCUUAGAGAAUAUCAGCAUUUGACAAAUAUAUGAUUGAAUGGUUGAUAUAGACUGGACUAGGCUAUCAAUGAUUAGAUUGGUCUUUAAAAGUAAUUUUCCCACUUAAAUAAGCAUGCCCCUUUCAAAAAAAUUUAGAACUAAGAAUAGAUAUAGCCCUUGGUUCAAUCCAGAUCUGGCUGCCCUUGACCAGCACAAAAACAUUCUGUGGCGAACUGCAAUAGCAUCGAAUAGUCCACGAGAUAUGCAACUGUUUAGGGAAGUCAGCAACCAAUACACAGUCAGUCAGGAAAGCAAAGGCUAGCUUUUUCAAACAGAAAUGUGCAUCCUGUAGCUUUAACUCCAAAACGUUUUGGGAGACUGUAAAGUCCAUGGUUAACAAGAGCAGCUGCCCACUGCACUGAGGCUAGGUAACACGGUCACCACCGAUAAAUCCAUGAUAAUUGAACAUUUCAAUAAGCAUUUCUCUACGGCUGGCAAUCAAAUCAAAUGUAUUUAUAUAGCCCUUUGUACAUCAGCUGAUAUCUCAAAGUGCUGUACAGAAACCCAGCCUAAAACCCCAAACAGCAAACAAUGCAGGUGUAAAAGCACGGUGGCUAGGAAAAACUCCCUAGAAAGGCCAAAACCUAGGAAGAAACCUAGAGAGGAACCAGGCUAUGUGGGGUGGCCAGUCCUCUUCUGGCUGUGCCGGGUAGAGAUUAUAACAGAACAUGACCAAGAUGUUCAAACGUUCAUAAAUGACCAGCAUGGUUGAAUAAUAAUAAGGCAGAACAGUUGAAACUGGAGCAGCAGCACAGUCAGGUGGACUGGGGACAGCAAGGAGUCAUCAUGUCAGGUAGUCCUGGGGCACGGUCCUAGGGCUCAGGUCCUCCGAGAGAGAGAAAGAAAGAGAAUUAGAGAGAGCAUAUGUGGGGUGGCCAGUCCUCUUCUGGCUGUGCCAGGUGGAGAUUAUAACAGAACGUGGCCCAGAUGUUCAAAUGUUCAUAAAUGACCAGCAUGGUUGAAUAAUGCUUUCCUUCUGGCUACCCCAACCCCGGCUAACAGCUCCGCACCCCCCGCCGCUACCUGCCCGAGACCCCCAGCUUCUCCUUCACCCAAAUCCAGAUAGGAGAUGUUCUGAAAGAGCUGCAAAACCUGGACCUGUACAAAUCAGCUGGGCUAGACAAUCUGGACCCUCUCUUUCUAAAAUUAUCCACCGCCAUUGUUGCAACCCCUAUUACCAGUCUGUUCAACCUCUCUUUCGCAUCGUCCGAGAUCCCUAAAGUUUGGAAAGCUGCAGCAGUCAUCCCCCUCUUCAAAGGGGGAGACACUCUAGACCCAAACUGUUACAGACCUAUAUCCAUCCUGCCCUGCUUUUCUAAAGUCUUCGAAAGCCAAGUUAAUAAACAGAUCACUGACCAUUUCGAGUCCCACAGUACCUUCUCCGCUGUGCAAUCCGGUUUCCGAGCUGGUCAUGGGUGCACCUCAGCCACGCUCAAGGUACUAAACGAUAUCAUAACCGCCAUUGAUAAGACAGUACUGUCCAGCCGUCUUUUCGACCUGGCCUCUGAGACCUGGGGCCUGUUGCACAAAAGUAGAAUUAAGACAUCCGGGAUAAAUGACUCAGCUGAGCUCAAUGAAGCCAAAACAUGUGCGUCCAGGCUUAAUUGGUUGCACAAAGACCAAGCCAGGAUGAGCAGACACGGAUUCAUUAAGCCAGGUGAAACCAAUCCUGGAUAGGUGCGCGCUCACGGCUCACUCAAAUAGACCCCGCCACAGAUCACAGAUUAACUGAUUUACCAUGGCAACUAGAGCCGCGUACUUUUCCCCGUCGGAAGCACAAAUCCUCAUGGAGGCAUACGAGGAGGUAAAAGAUAUAAUUAAGAAGAAAGGCAACACCGCCACAGUGAUAAAGCAAAGAGAAAAAGCGUGGCAAAGUAUUGCAGACCGCCUGAAUGCAUUAAACAUGAACGAGCCAAAACGGACAUGGCAGCAGGUCAAAAUCAAAUACAAGAACAUUCUGCAGAAUGGUAUGGUCCCUGACUAAUAUUUAACAAAGCACAAGCAUAUAUUGUACCCAGAAGGUGCCUGCUCACACAUUGUCUGUACUGUUUUAGCAGUGAAAAGAAUACCCACAGACAAGGCACGGGUGGUGGGUCACCAAAGGCUGACCUUACCCCAGCAGAGGACAUGGCCUUGGAGCUAAAUAAAGGCAGGCCCGUCUUAGAGGGGAUCCCUGGGGGAAAGAGACGAGCAUAGGUUCCUCCCAAGAUGCCACCCGCUUCAUUCAAGUGCCUGGCAGCACUGUGUUCCUGUUAGAGCCACCAGCACAAGCACCAGACGAUGCUGAUCCAGGUGAAGGCCCCAGUGCAGCAGCAACAGCACAUGAUGGAGACGAUGAUGAGGAGGAGACCAUCUCUCUGGAUUCCAGAAGGCAUGAGGUAUCAUGUUAAGACUGUGAAAGUACUAUUUACUCUACAAUGGUGAGGAGUCCUCAUCAAAAUCAAAAAAUCUAUUUUCUUUUACAGGACCCAGAUGCUAUACAGUGGGAAAACCAGCCUGGCAACAUAGUGCGUAUUAAUAAAAGGACACCACAUCCUGCCAAAUUCCAGCUGCGCUAAUUGUAUUGUGUUCACAGAGCUCACAAGCUAUCAGAAAGUUGUAUGGCAACCACCUCCGGCGCCAAAUAGAACUGGCAGACAUAGACAUUCAGUACAAGAAGAAAAAGAUGGAAAAUCUUGCACUGGAGUCCGAAAUAAAAAAGAGGACAAUUAGGAAACUGGACCUUGAAAUAAAAAAACUUGAGGGAGGUGAGAUAUGCCUUCAAUGUACACUGUAUGCUAACUGUAACACAAAUGUAUUAAUCAUUAUUUUUCUUUCCCCCAGCUCCAAGAAGAUGACACAGCUCAAAAUAAAAAAAUAGGUAUAUUCUCGUAAAGUCAAGUGAGCCAUGACAUAUGAGCUCUUAUUGUGAGCACACAGGAUGGUGGCAUCUUUCUAAGGUUUUUUUUAUUUUCCCAGCAAUCAGUACAACCAAGUCAUCGUUAUAAGGCAUCGCCCUCUUUUGCCCACCCCCCCAGCACCAGGUGUGGCCACUAGCCUAUAUGAAGGCCCAAAAUUGUGUGUUCCUUUCUGCUCUGACAAUGGCAUGCCCAUUCGUGCGAGAUGUGGUGGAUGAAGAAGCACUUGUGCUGAGGAGAGCCUUCAGGCGAGAAAGGGUCUUCAGGGACCGGUUGGACCCACUGGCCUUCCCUGAUGACCAUCUAUAUGAAAGAUACAGGUUUUCUGCAGAUGGCAUCAGGUAUCUAUGCAGACUACUGGGUCCCAGGAUUAAGCACCGCACUGCACGGAGCCAUGCACUGAGUGUGGAGCAAAUGGUUUGUGUUGCCUUGUGCUUUUUGCUAGUGGAGCCUUCCUGUACUCAGUGGGGAUGCAGAACAGCUGAACAAGGCCACAAUUUGCCGCACAAUAAGGAGUGUGUGUCUGGCUAUCAAAGCAUUAGCAGAUGUCUUCAUCUCCUUCCCUGGCCACAGAAGACUCUGUGACAUCAAAGAGGAGUUCUAUAGGAUUGCAGGUAAGAGGAUCUACAAAUUACAGGACAACUGUUAACACAUAGUAGGAUACUCAUUACUUUGUGUGACAGGUUUCCCCAAUGUCAUUGGUGCAGUGG